GGGUAGCGGAGAAAUUCCAAUCGAACCCGGAGAUAGCUGGUUCUCCCCGAAAUAGCUUUAGGGCUAGCGUCGAGGUAAGUUGCGUGAAGGUAGAGCACUGAAUAUGUGAUGGCCCCAUCUCGGGGUACUGAGCAUAAUCAAACUGCGAAUGUCACGCCAACAUGCUCGGCAGUCAGACAGCGGGUGAUAAGGUCCGUUGUCAAGAGGGAAACAGCCCAGACCAUCAGCUAAGGUCCCAAAAUGUAUGCUAAGUGGAAAAGGAUGUGGAGAUGUACAGACAACUAGGAGGUUGGCUCAGAAGCAGCCAUCCUUUAAAGAGUGCGUAACAGCUCACUAGUCGAAUGACUCUGCGCCGAUAAUUUACCGGGGCUAAGCAUACUACCGAAGCUAUGGAUCCCAAGGGAUGGUAGGGGAGCGUUCCAUGAACGGAGAAGUACGACCGAAAGGACGUGUGGAGAUCAUGGAAGAGAGAAUGCCGGUGUGAGUAGCGGAACGUGGGUGAGAAUCCCACGCACCGAAAACCCAAGGUUUCCAGAGGAAGGUUCGUCCGCUCUGGGUAAGUCGGGACCUAAGGCGAGGCCGAAAGGCGUAGUCGAUGGACAACAGGUAGAGAUUCCUGUACCCGUAUAUAUGUGAAGGAAUGACGGAGAGAGGAAGCUGCAGCCAGCGGCUGGAAGAGCUGGUGCAAGCGAGAUAUCGGGAUGGCAGGCAAAUCCACCAUCCGAAACGAGAAGGCGUGAAGCGUACGGAAAGCUACGGCGAGUACGGAAGGCAGUGGAGGAACUUCCAAGAAAAGUUUCUAACGUAAAGUAUAUAUGGCCCGUACCGAAAAUGGACACACAUGGGUGAGGAGAGAAUCCUAAGGUGAGCGAGAGAACUAUAGCUAAGGAACUCUGCAAAAUGACUCCGUAACUUAGGGAGAAGGAGUGCUCAUAGAGAUAUGAGCCGCAGUGAAACGGCCCAAGCGACUGUUUACCAAAAACACAGCUCUCUGCUAAGCCGCAAGGCGAAGUAUAGGGGGUGACGCCUGCCCGGUGCUGGAAGGUUAAGGGGAGGGGUUAACGCAAGUGAAGCCCUGAACUGAAGCCCCAGUAAACGGCGGCCGUAACUAUAACGGUCCUAAGGUAGCGAAAUUCCUUGUCAGGUAAGUUCUGACCCGCACGAAAGGCGUAACGAUUUGGGCGCUGUCUCAGCUGUAGACUCGGUGAAGUCUUAGUACCUGUGAAGAUGCAGGUUACCCGCGACUAGACGGAAAGACCCCAUGGAGCUUCACUGCAGGUUGAUAUUGGGAUUUGAUGCAGCAUGUACAGGAUAGGUAGGAGGCAAAGAGAUGGAUACGCCAGUAUUCAAGGAGCCGCUGUUGGGAUACUACCCCUGUUGUAUUGGAUUUCUAACCGGACGACGUAGAGCCGUUGACGGGACAGUGUCAGUCGGGCAGUUUGACUGGGGCGGUCGCCUCCCAAAGAGUAACGGAGGCGCCCAAAGAUACCCUCAGCUUGGAUGGAAACCAAGCGCAGAGUGCAAAGGCAAAAGGGUGUUUGACUGCGAGACCCACAAGUCGAGCAGGGACGAAAGUCGGGCUUAGUGAUCCGGCGGUGCUGAAUGGAAAGGCCGUCGCUCAACGGAUAAAAGCUACCCUGGGGAUAACAGGCUGAUCUCCCCCAAGAGUCCACAUCGACGGGGAGGUU
rnacentral:rRNA from 1 species